CAGAUAACAUGUUUUUUAAGUACAUUAUUCAUUCGCAGUUGUUGCAAUUUUUUUUAAGUUGAAGCAAAUUUGUUUAUGUUUAAGAUAGACUUUAUUAAGUUAGGAAUUGUUUAAGUUUUGGUAUUAUAAAUUAGUUUAUUUGUCUGUUUAUCCUUGGAGAGAUAUUUUUUCCACAAACUUCUGUCUCUGUGUUUUCAGUGUUGCCAACUCAAAAUUUAAAGUCACACAUGGUACAAUUAAUCUACUUAACGAAACUUACUGAUUUAACGAUAUUAUGGAAUCUUUUUAAUACUCGUAUUAACAUCCUGUGGUACUUUGAUAUAAAAAUUUGUCUAAUAAAAGCGCAAACGACCCAAGUAAUACAAUUGAUUCAACCAUUUUUUUUAUGUUAGAUUUAUUUCAUCUUACGUUUUUCUAAAACGGGAAAAGGGUCGCUUCCCACGCAAUUUAUUUUAAUCGACACGGUGCGUUUAAAAAGGUUUUCACGAUUUCAUGGUGCAAGACAGCCACCGAAUAAAAAGCUCGAUGAAAGCUUUCGAACUCAAUAAGAGAAUCAUCGCAAAUUAUAAAAAGCUCAAAAGAAGGAUUAUACAUCAGGACAGUGUACCUAAAAUUGGAUCAAUAUUGGCACACUGUACCCAUCUCGCCUCAGAAUUUACUUGCAUGCAAGGAGCGGAAGCGUUUCCAAGUUUAUAACUUCGAUUACAAGGAGAUUACUUCAUGCUUUCGACAAUUUCGCAAUUGCGAACAAUUUUAAUAGGUAGCGCAAAAACUAGUUUCGUUUUACGAGUUGCAAAUAAUUUGUUGCGAAAUGAAUAGUUUUAUACAGUGCAUAAAUGUCAUGUGUAAGAUUUAAAUUUGCACUUGCGGCGCUAUAAACCAUUGUAGAAUUACUCGAGCUUUAUAGACCUCGACAAGCCGCUAAAAUAGUCAAUCAAACCUAUUUCCUUCAUGCUCUGUCGUUCCACCUGUAUAAUUUAAUACUAUCUACACACAUUAAGCACCCAAAUGGGUUUUAAUUCGCAAACACAUGUCUUUUCUACCUUCAGGUAGGUAUAACGUCCGUCAAGUAAUAUUCCCAAAGGGCACUUAUACUGGUCCACUUCGAGAUCUUUUUAGGGGAUGCUUUUACGGAUAACGUGAUUUAUUGCACAUGAAAUUGCGUGAAAUUUUAUAUAAUAGCCGAUUUCACGGCAAGGGGACGAUUUAAACGGUGGUUGGUGAUUUAUGGAGGAUGUGUGGGAAGUGGAUAAGCACAAAAAUUAAAGAAUCUUGAGUAAUUAUCCGAAAUUGUGCCUUUUGAUUGGACACGACGUGAAAAAGCCGGGAUAAAAGCCCCGAAUAAUCUAUCAAUUCGUGCCGACGCGUCCGAUAUAUUUUCGAAAUAAUCAGUCAUAGAAAUGAAGGGGUUGCACUUCUUGGGGUGACAAAAAUGAGCGACACAAAUUUUAAAAGUCUAGGAAAGUGAAACUUUGAAAGUUUUAUACAAUAGGUGGGUAUACGUUGUUAUUGCCAAGUUGGUAUAUACGGAAAAUUUUAGUAUGUUCAGUAAAAAAAAAACUAGUAUUAAACCAUUCCUUUGAAGAAGGCAACAGAAUGCAGAGUUGAUUUGAGAUUAUUUAUAACCAAUUUAUAAAAAACAUUUAUACUAUAAACAG